rnacentral:tRNA from 1 species
UCCCUGGUGAUCAAGUGGGUAGGACUCUGCACUUUCACUGCUGAGGGCAAAGGUUCAAAUCCCUGGCUGGGGAA